CUGUAAUAUAACACAGAAUAUAUACAUCCCAAACAGGUACUGUAAUAUAACACAGAAUAUAGAGGGCGCCACCUCCAGUGUGGGGACAAACAGGUACUGUAAUAUAACACAGAAUAUAUACAUCCCAAACAGGUACUGUAAUAUAACACAGAUUAUUAUACCUUAUGUAAGAUUCUCGCCUUAUUAUUGGUCAAUUCCUAAUCACAUAACCUGAAACAAUAUGCAGUGUCAGAAACAGCGGUCAACAUUGCCGUGGGAUAUUGCAAUGUUCCCCGCUCCACCCGAAAACGCACGAUUGUUUCUUACGGAAAAUCCCGAACAUUGAGAAGGGAGACAAUUCUUACAAACGCAACAGUGACACAGACAACUUGUAAACAUGGAGCAGACGUCCAAGAGGUUUGCCUCAAUAUUUGAGGAGGAUAUCGAUAAAUUGAUAUCUAUUCGGUAUAAUAAAAUAAAUAGUGCCCUUGUCUGAGGGGAAUAUGG